UAAGGGAUAUUGCGCAAUGGGCGAAAGCCUGACGCAGCAACGCCGCGUGGAGGAAGAAGGCCUUCGGGUCGUAAACUCGUUUUUGAGCUGACGAGGAAGGACGGUAGGCUCAGAAGAAGUCACGGCUAACUACGUGCCAGCAGCCGCGGUAAAACGUAGGUGGCGAGCGUUAUCCGGAUUUACUGGGCGUAAAGGGUGUGCAGGCGGGACAGCAAGUGGUGUAUGAAAGCGUUCGGCUCAACCGAGCAAAGCUAUGCCAGACUGCUGGACUAGAGUGCGGGAGAGGGACGUGGAAUUCCGGGUGUAGUGGUGAAAUGCGUAGAGAUCCGGAGGAACCCCAGAGGCGAAGGCGGCGUCCUGGCCCGCAACUGACGCUCAGACACGACAGCAUGGGGAGCGAACGGGAUUAGAUACCCCGGUAGUCC
rnacentral:rRNA from 1 species